UACAGAGGUCUCAACCGUUGUUCGGAUUCAUUGGGCGUAAAGGGUGCGUAGGCGGUCGCGCAAGUCGGAUGUGAAAUCUCAGGGCUCAACCCUGAAACUGCAUUCGAUACUGCGUGGCUAGAGUGCUGGAGGGGAGACUGGAAUUUACGGUGUAGCAGUGAAAUGCGUAGAUAUCGUAAGGAAGACCAGUGGCGAAGGCGAGUCUCUGGACAGCAACUGACGCUGAGGCACGAAGGUCAGGGGAGCAAACGGG
rnacentral:rRNA from 1 species